GCAUCGGUGGUUCAGUGCUAGAAUGCUCGCCUGCCACGCGGGCGGGACGGGUUCGAUUCCCGGCCGACGCA
rnacentral:tRNA from 1 species